GAUGGCCUAGUGGUUGGAGCGUCCGCCUCGGAUGCGGGAGGUCGCGGGUUCGAAACCCAAACGAGUCA